rnacentral:lncRNA from 1 species
GGGGUGGCCGCCCCCGGGGGGUCACAGCCACCGGGCAGCCGGUGCGCAGCUCCUGGCUGGAAAUCUGGUCCUGCAAACGCAGCGACUGCGGGUAACAGCCCGGCGAAAGGGGAGCGAGGAGGGGAAAAACCUUCUGAACUUGGCCGUGUGGUCAGUGCAGUAUUGUGGGUUGGGGGUUUAGAAAAGCUAUGAACCUGGCUGGAAAGCCUCUCCGUGAUUCAUCCCGUUUUCACCCUGACUUUGGUACCCAGUGUUUCGGGAGAGCAGAUGCGUCUGUGCUUUUUUUUGGCUUUUUGGGGAGCCGUGAUGUGUGCUGGGAAGGGGCUUCUCGACAUGACCGGCCCUUUGCCUGCUCUGCCGCGUGCCUUGCUGGUUUCCCUGGUACUCAGUYCUGCCUAGGCGGACCUGAUGGGAGCCCGCUGGAAAAUUCCUAAGGACUUGAAGGUCCUGCGCCGCGCGGGAGGGAGACCAUGUUCCGCUUGCGAGUCGGUGCCCGCAGCCCGAGUCUCCGUCUGUCCCUACACGUGACAUGGGCUGAGCAUCCCUGUCCUGACAGUGGGAGCGGGCUCUGCUCAUUAGAGAGUGUUUCAAGCAACUCCGUUCAUAGCCCACAGGAACAUGGGAUUUUAAUUUACCCACUUGCUUCAGAGCUCGAAAAUCCACUGCUGCAAUCAGGACAGUUGCAGCUUUGAUUAAAAAUCCUAAAGGCAAGUCUCGUGUGUUUUGCUUCCUCCCUUCUACAAGCAGAAAGAAGAUUGGGUGCAUAAAAUAAUGAUGAGCGAGUUCAAAGCCAUCGCAGAAAGCUGCCCUGAGAGGACGUUCUCUAAUGCGACUCCAGCCCUUUACCGUUCUUCUUCCUCGCUGAGUGAGCGCCAACACAACAGACACAGUCUGGCAAGAGCCACUGCCGACAGUCCCCAAAUGCAGAAAUGCGCCUGCUGCGUGCGUGCGGGCGAAGGAGCCACGGCAAAGGCUUUAUUAGAGCAGCUUCCCUCUGAGACACGAGCAAACAAGCUGAGGUCAACGCAGUUCAARCUGCAGCAGCACUUGGCUUGGUGUCCAUUUGAAGCCUGAGGGAGACCCUGAUAAAGGGAAACACAUCAGAACGGCACGCAAAGUGGUAACUACUACUUUGGCCUCACACAACAUCCUACAGGCAUUAGGUUUGAUUAUGGUCUGCUCUUGGGUUCUGAUWUAUACAUCCGGAGACAUUAGGGAAACAGAUCCAUCGUGCGCCUGGGCCCUGUGCUGAAUCCCUGGUAUUACUGCCAGAGAACAGCCACCGUGCCUCUCCAGGCCUCAUUUGAGACAGGACGAGGGUUGAUGCUCGGUGUCCGUUUUCUAGCGAUACUUACUUCGGCACAGGAGGAGCUGUGACUUGUCCUAGUGGGUCUGCAUAGAUGGCAAAGGCUUCUGGGUCCUUUCUCCAGGUCUGCUGAAAUGCUGGAAGGAAUACGGAGGAGACCAGAGGUGUGUUUGAAAUAAUAUUAAGGGAUGAAUAUUGUCUGCCUCAUCUUCUGUUAUGCUGCAAGGCUCCCACAAGACGCUUUCUGUAGCACAGUUCACACUGACUCAGUGUCUGCAAUUGUAUGUCUGGCCAUUGCUUACUGUAGAGUUCCUCUGGCUUAAACAUGAUUCUACUUUAUUUCAGUAGGUGGCACGUAGCAGUAGGCAAAAGAAAUGAAUUAAAACUCAGAGUAUAGGUCCCUACCCAUUGUUGCCAGCUCUCUGAGUGGCUGAGAAAGCUAAACGCUAUAUAUUUAUUUUCAAAUAUGGUCAGAUUGCAGGA